rfam:Caldivirga sp. JCHS_4 scf1118686606036, whole genome shotgun sequence.
GCCCCGGUCGUUCAGCCUGGUCUAGGAUAGUGGGUUACCCACCCUAAGGCGGGCCUGUCGAGCCCGAGACCCGGGUUCAAAUCCCGGCCGGGGCG